UACAGAGGUCUCAAGCGUUGUUCGGAUUUAUUGGGCGUAAAGAGCUCGUAGGCGGCUUGUCGCGUCGAAUGUGAAAACUCGGGGCUCAACUCCGAGCUUGCAUUCGAUACGGGCAGGCUAGAGUUCGGUAGGGGAGACUGGAAUUCCUGGUGUAGCGGUGAAAUGCGCAGAUAUCAGGAGGAACACCGGUGGCGAAGGCGGGUCUCUGGGCCGAUACUGACGCUGAGGAGCGAAAGCGUGGGGAGCGAACAGG
rnacentral:rRNA from 1 species